AGUUCAUAGUCUUUGUAGCUACUCGUCAUUCAUUUUGACUCGUCAUUUAACGAACACCUCCUCGUAGUUUUAAUAUUUAAAGAUAAAACAAUGGGAUAUAGAUUAGUUUUCUUUGUCGUUGGACUUUGCCUCAUUGCAAAUAUGGAUGUGGCGUUAGGUGUAAAUGGCAUGGCCGACUGUGCAUGCAUGCUAACGGAGAACUGUGAGAACAAAUAUGUCAGACCUGCUGAACAACAACCAACUAAUUGUCCAGAUGGGCAAAUAUACUGUUGUAAUAUUGAAGACGACCGAAAAUAAAAGUUCUCGAGUUUUGUAUGAGGAAAAGAAAAGCGGCAGUUACGUUACCAAUUUUGUGAAAAGAAAUAAAAAAUAAACAAAAAAAUAAAUUAUU